rnacentral:rRNA from 1 species
CCUACGGGUGGCAGCAGUGAGGAAUAUUGGUCAAUGGACGAGAGUCUGAACCAGCCAAGUAGCGUGAAGGAUGACUGCCCUAUGGGUUGUAAACUUCUUUUAUAUGGGAAUAAAACGUUCCACGUGUGGGAUUUUGUAUGUACCAUAUGAAUAAGGAUCGGCUAACUCCGUGCCAGCAGCCGCGGUAAUACGGAGGAUCCGAGCGUUAUCCGGAUUUAUUGGGUUUAAAGGGAGCGUCGGUGGAGUGUUAAGUCAGUUGUGAAAGUUUGCGGCUCAACCGUAAAAUUGCAGUUGAAACUGGCAGUCUUGAGUACAGUAGAGGUGGGCGGAAUUCGUGGUGUAGCGGUGAAAUGCUUAGAUAUCACGAAGAACUCCGAUUGCGAAGGCAGUUCACUGGACUGCAACUGACACUGAGGCUCGAAAGUGUGGGUAUCAAACAGGAUUAGAUACCCUUGUAGUC